rnacentral:rRNA from 1 species
AUUGAACGCUGGCGGCAGGCCUAACACAUGCAAGUCGAACGAGUGGCGGACGGGUGAGUAAUGUCUGGGAAACUGCCUGAUGGCGGGGGAUAACUACUGGAAACGGUAGCUAAUACCGCAUACCAUCGGAUGUGCCCAGAUGGGAUUAGCUAGUCGGUGGGGUAAAGGCUCAACUAGGCGACCAUCCCUAGCUGGUCUGAGAGGAUGACCAGCCACCCUGGGACUGAGACAAGGUCCAGACUCCUAAGGUAGGCAUCAGUGGGGAAUAUUGCACAAUGGGCGCAAGCCUUAUGCAGCCAUGCCGCGUGUAUGAAGAAGGCCUUCGGGUUGUAAAGUACUUUCAGUGGGGAGGCGUUACCCGCAGAAGAAGCACCGGCUAACUCCGUGCCAGCAGCCGCGGUAAUAC